AAGUAAGAAGCAGUAUUUGCAAUUAGUUUCGACCUAAUUAUAUGGUAUUAAAUUACCCUUAUUUA
rnacentral:tRNA from 1 species